ACGCACGCUGGCGGCGUGCUUAACACAUGCAAGUCGAACGGAAAGGCCCCUUUGGGGGUACUCGAGUGGCGAACGGGUGAGUAACGCGUGAGUAACCUGCCCUUGACUUCGGGAUAACUUCAGGAAACUGGGGCUAAUACCGGAUAGGAAUCCUUGCUGCAUGGUGGGGGUUGGAAAGCUUCGGCGGUUUUGGAUGGACUCGCGGCUUAUCAGCUUGUUGGUGGGGUAGUGGCUUACCAAGGCUUUGACGGGUAGCCGGCCUGAGAGGGCGACCGGCCACAUUGGGACUGAGAUACGGCCCAGACUCCUACGGGAGGCAGCAGUGGGGAAUAUUGCACAAUGGGCGGAAGCCUGAUGCAGCAACGCCGCGUGCGGGAUGACGGCCUUCGGGUUGUAAACCGCUUUCAGCAGGGGCGAAGCUUGUGGUGACGGUACCUGCAGAAGAAGCACCGGCUAACUACGUG
rnacentral:rRNA from 1 species